GUUGCUUCGGCGCGCGCUCGUCGCCGCCGAGGACGAUAAACUCUGUCUUUUAUAAGAAUCUCUGAGUGGCCGAAAGGCAAAAAACAAAUGAAUCAAAACUUUCAACAACGGAUCUCUUGGUUCUGGCAUCGAUGAAGAACGCAGCGAAAUGCGAUAAGUAAUGUGAAUUGCAGAAUUCAGUGAAUCAUCGAAUCUUUGAACGCACAUUGCGCCCGCCAGCAUUCUGGCGGGCAUGCCUGUUCGAGCGUCAUUUCAACCCUCGAGCCCGACUUCCUUGCGGAGGACGGCUCGGCGUUGGGGGACGGCACACUCCCCCCGGCUUGCCGGGGACGCCGCCCCCUAAAUUCAGUGGCGGCCCUCGGAGGCGACCUCUGCGUAGUAAUUUAACCUCGCAAAGGGAAGCUUCGAGCGGCCACGCCGUGAAACCCCAACUAUAACAAGGUUGACCUCGAAUCAGGUAGGACUACCCGCUGAACUUAAGCAU
rnacentral:rRNA from 1 species